UACAGAGGUCUCAAGCGUUGUUCGGAUUCAUUGGGCGUAAAGGGUGCGUAGGCGGCGCGGUAAGUCGGGUGUGAAAUCUCGGAGCUUAACUCCGAAACUGCAUUCGAUACUGCCGUGCUUGAGGACUGGAGAGGAGACUGGAAUUUACGGUGUAGCGGUGAAAUGCGUAGAUAUCGUAAGGAAGACCAGUGGCGAAGGCGGGUCUCUGGGCAGCAACUGACGCUGAGGAGCGAAAGCGUGGGGAGCGAACAGG
rnacentral:rRNA from 1 species